GGUGAGUGACACUUGUUAACUAUUAUAUUGAUGAAGGUGGAAAUAUUCAAUAAGGGUAAGAAAAGGGAAAUAUUAUCUCUCGUCAAGAAAAAUGGUACCGAUAUAAAAACGAAUUUUUUUCAAUCUAUACUAAAGAGAUUAGAAAGAAAAUCGACUUAAUUUCAAAAAGAUUGGAAAACGUAUAAAUUUGGUGAGUUUCCAUAUAUGGAUCAAAGAAAUUACAAUUUUUAUAAUCGAUGAAACGAAUUUCCCUUAAUGGUGAGUUCAGUAAACGUACAAAUGGGGGGAACUAUUCAAUAAUUUACAAAAUGGAAACUGUAGUGACGUAUCACGAAUACGAGCAACCUUUUUGGACACCGAAGUCCUUCGUGAGAAAUCGGAAGAAAAAUGGGAUUCGACAGAAGACCGAAAGUUGACGAAUACUUGCCGGAAAUUUACGAAACCUCAUUACAGGCUUAGCUCUCAUUAGAUUAGGAUGUUAUUUGCAGUUACAAAUAUUUCUUGUAUUAAGAAUAAAAACAGUCUUUUUUUGCCUAAUUAUAGUAAUUUUGAAAAUAAUUUAACCAGGGAUGUUUGAACAAUUUUUUUUUUAAAUUGUAAUUGUGUUUUUUGACGAGGAAAAAAUUAUUUCAAAUGUAUUUUUCAAGUGAUUUAAGGAUGAAAAGAAGAGGAAAUACAAAGAAACGA